CCGCGGAGCCCCCGCCGCCCGCCGGGGCCGCCAUCUUCCGCUCACGUGACCGCAGCAGGCUCGCCUCAAACAACUUUAUCCGCAACAGCCGGGACGUACGGCCACGCGGCCUCGGGGGCGGGGCCGACUCGCUUCCGAGCCCCGCCCCCGGCUCCGCCCCCGGAGCGCUGGUUACUCGCCUAGCUCUGCCCCGGUGCGGUAAGAGCAGGCGGGUGGCUGUUCCAGGCGCCCCGACGGCGGGACCCAAAGGGCUUUUCCCCAGAAGGACACCCUUCGGUCAGGGUCACACUGUCUCUUCAUCCUCGCUAUGCUGCCUGCGGCCAGCCUGGGGUCCUGCAGCCACCUGUAGGCAACCAAAUGCUGGAUAUGCCCACGCCAGUGUCGGCCUUCUUUUCACCUACGCUGAUCCUGCCUCCCUCACCUCAGAUGUCCCUUCUCAUGUCAACCUGACACAAGCUGGAGUCAUCUGAAAGUCAAUCGAGGAAAUGCUGCCACAAGAUCCAGCUGUAGGGCAUUUUCUUAAUUUGCGAUUGAUGUGAGAGGGCCCAGCCCAUGGUGGGUGGUACCAUUCUGGGGCUGGUGGUCCUGGGUUCUAUAAGAAAGCAGGCAGAGCAAGCCAUGAGGAGCAAGCCAGUGAGCAGCACCCUCCAUGGCCUCUGCCUCAGCUCCUGACUCCAGGUGCCUGUGCUGUUUGAGUUCCUGUCCUGCCUGUCUCCGGUGACAGAGAUAGAUGUGGAAGCAUAAGCCAAAUAAACCCUUUCCUCUCCA